rnacentral:tRNA from 1 species
GGGUGGUUGGCAGAGUGGUUAUGCAGCUGACUUUUAAUCAGCACCAUAGAGGUUCGAUUCCUCUACCACCCA